GAUGAUAUAGUUUAGAUGGUAAAAUACUUGUUUAACAUGAAAGAGGUUGUGGGUUUAAUACCCCACUUCUUCA